CCUCUUCUUACAUAACAUUAGUCUUAACCAAAAGAAACAAAAAGAAAAAAAAAAAUGAAUCGUCAGGUUUUAUCCUUAAUCAUUUCGAUCAUUCUCUUACUCUCUGCGUACAACACAACUAUGGGACGAACGUUGCCAAGCGAAGGGAAUGGAGCAUUACAAUUUGGAAAUAUAAAAGCUGGUGUUACAGGAAGUAUAUCGCAACGUGGGAAAGGGCAUGGACCUUGAGACCUUCAUGAAACCAAUAUUGAUAACAUUUAUGAUUUGUAUCACUAUUCAUCAAUACAUUGCAGCGAUUCAUGAAACAGCCUAUUUUUUUUUUUCCUCUCUAUCUGUAGUUUUACUCAUGCGUGUACUUUUUCUUUCAAAACUAAUAUGGAGAUGUAUACCAAAAUUUAUAUCGUACUA